ACUGCUCAGUAACACGUAGUCAACAUGCCCAGGGGACGUGGAUAACCUCGGGAAACUGAGGAUAAACCGCGAUAAGUCACUACUUCUGGAAUGGGUAAUGACUAAAAUCUACAUGGCCCCUGGAUUGGACUGCGGCCGAUCAGGCUGUUGGUGAGGUAAUGGCCCACCAAACCUGUAACCGGUACGGGCUCUGAGAGGAGGAGCCCGGAGAUGGGCACUGAGACAAGGGCCCAGGCCCUAUGGGGCGCAGCAGGCGCGAAACCUCUGCAAUAGGCGAAAGCCUGACAGGGUUACUCUGAGUGAUUUCCGCUAAGGAGAUCUUUUGGCACCUCUAAAAAUGGUGCAGAAUAAGGGGUGGGCAAGUCUGGUGUCAGCCGCCGCGGUAAUACCAGCACCCCGAGUGGUCGGGACGUUUAUUGGGCCUAAAGCAUCCGUAGCCGGUUCUACAAGUCUUCCGUUAAAUCCACCUGCUUAACAGAUGGGCUGCGGAAGAUACUAUAGAGCUAGGAGGCGGGAGAGGCAAGCGGUACUCGAUGGGUAGGGGUAAAAUCCGUUGAUCCAUUGAAGACCACCAGUGGCGAAGGCGGCUUGCCAGAACGCGCUCGACGGUGAGGGAUGAAAGCUGGGGGAGCAAACCGGAUUAGAUACCCGGGUAGUCCCAGCUGUAAACGAUGCAGACUCGGUGAUGAGUUGGCUUCUUGCCAACUCAGUGCCGCAGGGAAGCCGUUAAGUUUGCCGCCUGGGGAGUACGGUCGCAAGACUGAAACUUAAAGGAAUUGGCGGGGGAGCAC
rnacentral:rRNA from 1 species